CCUCCCCGUACCAUUCGUUGGUUUGCUGACCAAGAAUGCUUGCUGCUUUUUUCGCUCUCUAAUGUCGUCCGGUUCUGGUAAUAUUGUUACAGCAUGUCCAGCAAUAGCCCCCAAACAGGGCCCCUAAAUUUGCAAGUAGGGGCCAGCCCUCAUAAGUAGGGACCCAAAAAUUGCAAAUGUCUCCAGCAAGACCUCCUAAAUCACAACCCCUAUUUCAUUCACAUAUUUCAAACCAAAUUCAUCCGAUUUCAACCUAAAUUCAUCCAAUUUCAACACAAAAUAGUCAAAUUGAACCUCUAUUCAUUAAACCUCAACACCCAUCAUCCAAAUUACCAAUUUGUACAUACAAUUUUAACAAAAAAAAACCAUUUCAAUACACAGUGGAGGAGACCUGCGCCAUCGCUGGAGGAGGAGUAGGUGGUGGCCGCCGUCACUGGAGGAGGACGAGCUGGUGGCGGGCGCUGUCGCAGGGGGAGGAGCAGGAGGUGGUGGCGGGCGCCGCCGCGGGGAGAGGAGCAGGAGGUGGUGGCGGGCAGUGCUCUUGUAGGAGGAGCAGGAGGUGGCGGCGGGGGCCGAGGGGAGGAAGAGGAGGAGGUCGUGCCGUCGUGGCGGCCGACGCUCUCGCGGGAGGUGCCGGCGGGGGCCGUCGCAGGGGGAGGAAGAGGAGGAGGUCGUGGCGGACGACGUUCUCGCGGGAGGCGGUGGCCGGAGACGGGGAGGGUGAGGCGGUGGUGGCCGGAGAAGGAGAGGCGGCGGCAUCCGAAGGAGAGUGAGGGAGAGGCAAACGAGAGGAGGGAGAGAAGAUCGGGGGAAUCUUGGGGAUAGGGGGUCCCUAUCCCACCCGUGGGAAUGGGGGCCCUCGGGCAGAUUUGGAGGCCUCCCAAAAUUUAGGGGCUUGUUUAGGGGCCCUGUUGGACCAGUUUUUUUGCCUCAAGCCCCCAAACAGGGUCCUGUUUGGGGGCUCGGCCGGACAUGCUCUUAGUCCUCUCUUCCGAUAUAAUCAGUCUUGUUAAGGAACAAUUUCAUUUCAUUUGGUGGUCGCAGCUGCAGAUGACGUUAAUUUGAUUCCUUAUACAAAUUGCAUUGUACCUCUGGUGUGGAAUAUCCGAUUGGGGAGAAACAAAGUAUAGCAUUUUAGUGGAAUGAACAUAUGUCAGUAUAUUACGUAAUUUGAGGAAUUAGUUCUUUUC